CCUACGGGAUGCAGCAGUGAGGAAUAUUGGUCAAUGGGCGGAAGUCUGAACCAGCCAAGUAGCGUGCAGGAUGACGGCCCUACGGGUUGUAAACUGCUUUUAUACGGGAAUAACGCGCCUUACGUGUAGGGCUUUGCAUGUACCGUAUGAAUAAGGACCGGCUAAUUCCGUGCCAGCAGCCGCGGUAAUACGGAGGGUCCGGGCGUUAUCCGGAUUUAUUGGGUUUAAAGGGAGCGUAGACGGCAUGUCAAGCGUGCUGUGAAAUGUCCGGGCUCAACCCUGGCCUUGCAGCGCGAACUGGCGUGCUUGAGUCCGCGGAAGGCAGGCGGAAUUCGUCGUGUAGCGGUGAAAUGCUUAGAUAUGACGAAGAACCCCGAUUGCGAAGGCAGCUUGCUACAGCGUAACUGACGCUGAUGCUCGAAAGCGCGGGUAUCGAACAGGAUUAGAUACCCGAGUAGUC
rnacentral:rRNA from 1 species